GAGUUUGAUCCUGGCUCAGAACAAACGCUGGCGGCAGGCUUAACACAUGCAAGUCGAACGCCCCGCAAGGGGAGUGGCAGACGGGUGAGUAACGCGUGGGAAUCUACCGUACCCUACGGAAUAACGCAUGGAAACGUGUGCUAAUACCGUAUACGCCCUUCGGGGGAAAGAUUUAUCGGGGUAUGAUGAGCCCGCGUUGGAUUAGCUAGUUGGUGGGGUAAAGGCCUACCAAGGCGACGAUCCAUAGCUGGUCUGAGAGGAUGAUCAGCCACAUUGGGACUGAGACACGGCCCAAACUCCUACGGGAGGCAGCAGUGGGGAAUAUUGGACAAUGGGCGCAAGCCUGAUCCAGCCAUGCCGCGUGAGUGAUGAAGGUCUUAGGAUUGUAAAGCUCUUUCACCGAUGAAGAUAAUGACGGUAGUCGGAGAAGAAGCCCCGGCUAACUUCGUGCCAGCAGCCGCGGUAAUACGAAGGGGGCUAGCGUUGUUCGGAAUUACUGGGCGUAAAGCGCACGUAGGCGGAUAUUUAAGUCAGGGGUGAAAUCCCGCAGCUCAACUGCGGAACUGCCUUUGAUACUGGGUAUCUCGAGUAUGGAAGAGGUGAGUGGAAUUCCGAGUGUAGAGGUGAAAAUUCGUAGAUAUUCGGAGGAA
rnacentral:rRNA from 1 species